CUGAGCCGGCGGCUCGCAGGUGGCAGAAGGCCAGCUCGGAGAGUCACACCAGCGACUCCGGCCUUAAAUGGACCUCGAUUCCAUACAACAAGGAGCACCACUUCCGGUUUCCUCCUGUACAUUUCCGUCAGCACUGAAGGCUCUUCCUGUCUCCAAGCCCAUUGGCAGGUUUUCCUUUGGGGGAACUUCUUUCUCAGCUCAGAGUUCUUCUCUGCACAGUCUUUCCAGGUACCGUCCCUCCCUCCACACUCGCUGUUGUCGUCACAGUAUGCGGCGCGCGAGUUCGAUCCCAAGUUCUUUCCAUAAUUUUAACUUGUCUCUUUCGGCCAUCAUUCUCCAAGGCCCAGAAGGGCCUGUGUCUGACCCUUAGAGCAACCUCAGGACUGAGCAAAAUGCCGGGAACAGAGACUCUCCAGGGCCUCAGAGCUCAUCAGAAGAGAGAUGAUGGGAAGUGGUUAGGCCUGUAGAUGAAGGAAGCUGAGAAGACCUGGCUUACUGUUUCUUCACUAGCUAUUGUGAAUAAUGCGGCUAUGAACACUGAUGUGUAAGUUUUCGUGUGGAGGCUCGCGUGUUACUCCAGAAGCAGACUCACGUCUGCUGUACAAUUACAUCAAGCGGCCACACUGAGUGCCUGACCCACACCACCUGGGUCUGUCAUCAUCAGUCAAGUGUGUAAUUCAACAGCACUCACGGCUCCUGUCCUGCCCUGCAGUCGUCCCCAUCGCUCAUCUCCAGAACUCUUCAUUUGGUGCCACUCUGAAUCCAUUCAACAGUAGCUCCCCUUUGCAGCCCCCACCAUCCAUCACUCUGCUCUUCGUCCUGAUGGCUUUAUCUGCUCUACGGACCUCACUGGAGCCGAAUUGCACACUGUUUGCCCUUCUGGGACUGGCUCAUUUCACUUAGCAUAAUGUCCUCAUGGUCACUGAUACUGCAGCACGUGUCAGCACUCCUGUCCCGCAAAAGGUUGGUGGAAAAUGGAAUUACCAAAUAAAGGGCUCCUGGCGCAAAAAUAUUUUGAAGUCCAUGCAUAUGAGGGGUCUUGAGGAAGUUCAAGGAAAUGUAUAUUAUGAAAAACUGCAUGGAUUUCCACCUUUCUGCACAAAAAGUAACAUAUCUUUUAAUUCAAUUUUUCCAAAAUCUUUUUGAAGUACCCUGUUAUA